GCUCGGAUGGUGGAAUCGGUAGACACGAGGGACUUAAAAUCCCUUGGCCUUUAGGCUGUGCGGGUUCAAGUCCCGCUCCGAGUA
rnacentral:tRNA from 2 species